GGAGGGAGCUUGCUCCCAAAGAUUAGCGGCGGACGGGUGAGUAACACGUGGGCAACCUGCCUGUAAGACUGGGAUAACUUCGGGAAACCGGAGCUAAUACCGGAUAAUCCUUUUCCUCACAUGAGGGAAAGCUGAAAGACGGUUUCGGCUGUCACUUACAGAUGGGCCCGCGGCGCAUUAGCUAGUUGGUGAGGUAACGGCUCACCAAGGCGACGAUGCGUAGCCGACCUGAGAGGGUGAUCGGCCACACUGGGACUGAGACACGGCCCAGACUCCUACGGGAGGCAGCAGUAGGGAAUCUUCCGCAAUGGACGAAAGUCUGACGGAGCAACGCCGCGUGAGCGAAGAAGGCCUUCGGGUCGUAAAGCUCUGUUGUCAGGGAAGAACAAGUGCCGGAGUAACUGCCGGCACCUUGACGGUACCUGACCAGAAAGCCACGGCUAACUACGUGCCAGCAGCCGCGGUAAUACGUAGGUGGCAAGCGUUGUCCGGAAUUAUUGGGCGUAAAGCGCGCGCAGGCGGUCCUUUAAGUCUGAUGUGAAAGCCCACGGCUCAACCGUGGAGGGUCAUUGGAAACUGGGGGACUUGAGUGCAGAAGAGGAGAGUGGAAUUCCACGUGUAGCGGUGAAAUGCGUAGAGAUGUGGAGGAACACCAGUGGCGAAGGCGACUCUCUGGUCUGUAACUGACGCUGAGGCGCGAAAGCGUGGGGAGCGAACAGGAUUAGAUACCCUG
rnacentral:rRNA from 2 species